rnacentral:tRNA from 1 species
GGGGGUUUAGCUCAGUGGUAGAGCACUUGCCUAGCAAGCGCAAGGCCCUGGGUUCGAUCCCCAGCUCCG